rnacentral:misc_RNA from 1 species
UUUCCGUAGGUGAACCUGCGGAAGGAUCAUUAUCGAAUGCAAUUAGAGUUGGUUGUCGCUGGCGCACUUCGUUGGGCGCAUGUGCACGCCUUCUCUAUUUCAUCCACACACACUUGUGCACCUGUGAGACGGACUGACCCCCUCGGGGCGACGGUCCGCCUAUUAUACAUAAACUCUAAUAAAUAUAAAUCUGAAUGUCAUUUGAUGUAAACGCAUCUUUAAACUAAGUUUCAACAACGGAUCUCUUGGCUCUCGCAUCGAUGAAGAACGCAGC